ACUGCGGUCAUUAAUACAUGUUGAGCGCACUUUAAUGUGACUCUUUGUAUACCCAUUACCACCCAACCCAGAGGUGCAUUGUGGCCUUUAGAGGUUAGCAGUGUAUCAGUACGUAUCCCAAAGGCAACUUUGAGUUACAUUACCCAUCAUUUACCCCCAUUUACACUUAAUAAGUUUUAAGAAUGAUACCUAUAAUUAUAUAACUUUCAGCAAUGGAUCUCUAGGCUCUCACGUCGAUGAAGAACACAGUGAAAUGUGAUACGUAAUGUGAAUUGCAGAAUUCAGUGAAUCAUCGAAUCUUUGAACGCACCUUGCACCUUUUGGUUAUUCUGAAAGGUACGCCUGUUUGAAUGUCACGAAACCCCCCUCGGCUCUAAUGCUUUCUAAAAGGAUUAGAGACGGAUUCUGAGUGUUGGCGUGAAUACGCCUCGCUUUAAAUAGAUCAGCACUUUUGGAUGGUUGAAUAUUAGUUCAAAAGACGUACUUGAUGUUGUAUUUAUAUGUCAUUGAGGCAGUCUUUGGUCGUUCCGACUAUCCGCUAAUACGAAGACUUGAAGAAUAGCUUCCUAACCCUAUUCAUUUAACCUUUAGACUUCAAAUCAGGUGGGACUACCCGCUGAACUUAAGCAUAUCAUAACGGAGGAAA
rnacentral:rRNA from 1 species